CUCUCCCCGAACUCCUACUCAUCCUUCAGGUGCAAUUCAAGGUUCGCUUCCUCGGGAAAGCCCUUCCUGACCACCUCCAGGGCCAUCAGUCUCCUCUUUCACUCUCCAGUGGAACUAUGCUUGACUCCUUCUUGAUUCAUAUCUGAUUCUAGAUGUGUUUCUGACUUCGCUCAACAUUAUAUUCCCAGCACCUAGAGGUGGUACAUAGUAGGUAUACAAUAAUCAAUUUGUUGAAGGAAUAAAAUGAAAAUUGAGUUAAUAGACUGAAUAUUCGACAUCAUUUGCUCUGCUGGGUAUUUCCUCUUUUCAUUUUGUAAUUAUUUGGCAUUAUCCAUUUACAAAUAAUGGUUUACCUUUGCAGACAUGCCGUGUCUGUGUCUAAUUUGUUAUCUGGAGGCCCUGCUGCAUACCCAUCCUACAGAGGCCAUUUCACUCUUUGGUAGCUUCUCGUUGGUGCCAGCACAGUUAAGGGGCCUGCAAAUAUUCCCAGCAUGGCCUCCAAUGCAGUCCCUGGAAAAUGCAGAAACCACCCUUGGGCUCCCAGCUGUUUCAAACCAAGCGGGGAGCUGGGUUUGGCCCUCGGGGCUGUGGUGCCCAGACCCCGAAUAGACUCGGCUGCUGCUUGUCUGCUGAACCCUGCAAGGACUUUGCCUGGCAGGUGGAUGGAGCAGACCGCGCUCGGGCAUGAAACUUCCCACUGCAAACGCUACAAGAACAAAAGGGGGCCAAGCGGGUAGCGUGGUUUCCGAGGAGUGCAUUUCAUCCAGCCGCCUCCCGAAGCUUCUAGCAUUCACGACUGCACCGUAAACACAAACAAGACGAGCGCUCUGAGCCGAGUGUGCAGAUCCAGCACCAACUAGCUGUGUGACCCUGGGCAAGUUGCCGGACCCCUCUGAGACUCAGUUACCUGACGCAUAAAAAGAUGGACAAGGCCCCUCUGAUGGUGAGAUUGUCGGGAGGGUUUAGACGGGAUGUCACGUGCCUCCCCCAUCUGCAGUGUGUGCUCUGCGAAGGGUGGCAAACGCAAUGACACACCACACACCUGCCAAGCUCGGGCUCAGCUUUUGUUGAAGGUCGCUGAAAAUCUGGCCUCAAGGGAAGAAUCCUUUGCCACCAAAUCUUGGAGAUAAAGUUGAGGCUCAAAGAGGUUAAGUAACUUGUCCACAGUCACACAACAGGGAAACCGAUACUUCGGAGGGGUUAAAAUGUCCCCUCUCCAAUAAGUCAAUCUGAAAGACCUGGGACUGGAACCCGACUGAGUUUUGAUUCAGAAGCCUGUGACCUUUUCAUGACUUCAAGGUGGAAGGUGAUAAGUGUUUCAACAGAGAUGAAGCCACACCAGGAGUGAUGGAAACAGACACAAACAAAAACAUGACUGUCCUGCUUCUCCCUCCUCUCAAUGGAAUAGACCAAGAGCAAACUGGGGAAACCAGAGAAGAUAUGUUCUGAUGCCACCAUCAAGGAGGGGCGGGCUUGGCCCUCUGGCAGGACCCUUGCACUUUAGCUGAGCAGCUGGCAGGGAGGCUGCGGGGUGUCCUGGGCUUGCAGCAGCUAAGCCACCA